rnacentral:rRNA from 1 species
AUUGAACGCUGGCGGCAGGCCUAACACAUGCAAGUCGAGCGAGCGGCGGACGGGUGAGUAAUGUCUGGGAAACUGCCUGAUGGAGGGGGAUAACUACUGGAAACGGUAGCUAAUACCGCAUACCAUCAGAUGUGCCCAGAUGGGAUUAGCUAGUGGGUGGGGUAACGGCGCACCUAGGCGACGAUCCCUAGCUGGUCUGAGAGGAUGACCAGCCAAACUGGAACUGAGACACGGCCCAGACUCCUACGGGAGGAAGCAGUGGGGAAUAUUGCACAAUGGGGGCAAGCCUGAGGAGGCAAUGCGGGGGGGGUGAAGAGGGCCUUCGGGUGGUAAGGCACUUUCAGCGGGGAGGCGUUACCCGCAGAGGAAGCACCGGCUAACUCCGUGCCAGCAGCCGCGGUAAUAC